GGGUUGUCAUGCCAAUGGCACGGCCCGGUAGCUAAAUGCGGAAGAGAUAAGUG
rnacentral:rRNA from 1 species